CGAACGCUGGCGGCGUGCCUAAUACAUGCAAGUCGAGCGGACCGAGGAGCUUGCUCCCAAAGGUUAGCGGCGGACGGGUGAGUAACACGUGGGCAAUCUGCCUGUCAGACUGGAAUAACAUCCGGAAACGGGUGCUAAUGCCGGACAGGCAACCUAGGGGGCAUCCUUAGGUUGGGAAAGCUGCCAUGGCAGUGCUGAGCGAUGAGCCCGCGGCGCAUUAGCUAGUUGGUGAGGUAACGGCCCACCAAGGCGACGAUGCGUAGCCGACCUGAGAGGGUGACCGGCCACACUGGGACUGAGACACGGCCCAGACUCCUACGGGAGGCAGCAGUAGGGAAUCUUCCGCAAUGGGCGCAAGCCUGACGGAGCAACGCCGCGUGAGCGAAGAAGGCCUUCGGGUUGUAAAGCUCAGUCACUCGGGAAGAGCGGACGAGGGAGUGGAAAGCCCUCGUCGAGACGGUACCGAGAGAGGAAGCCCCGGCUAACUACGUG
rnacentral:rRNA from 1 species